AAUUUAUUUAAUACUUUAAACAUUGAGGUUGUUUCCAGUGUUUUAUUACAGACACUGUCCUAUGAUUACCAUAAAUUCUUUAUAAGUAGAAUUUCUGGGUCAGCAUAUGUAUAGUAUGUAUACAGUUUCAAUUUGGAUGGUUAUGCCAAAUUACCUUCCAAAAAGACCACCUUUGGUUUCCACUCUCACCAGCAAUAUCUGAGCACCUGUCUCCCACAGCACUCAAGCAUCAAGCAGUCGUGCAUCAAGCAUCCAGCAGGCCCGAUCCCCGCAGGCCACCUACAGGGAAAGGCCACAGCUGCGCCCACACCUAUGAGACCUGGGAGGCCCAGCUCAAAUGGAUGGGUUUUGCCCACAGUUGGCUCCUCACUCCUCUGAUCUUCCCUCUACACAGCCCUGGGCCCCUGGCCUUGAAAAUUGCUGGGCGAAUUGCAGAAUUCUUCCCUGAUGCAGUACUUAUUAUGUUGGAUAAUCAGAAACUGGUGCCUCAGCCUCGUGUGCCCCCGGUCAUCGUCCUGGAGAACCAAGGU
rnacentral:lncRNA from 1 species